AGCAGCCGCGGUAAUUCCAGCUCCAAUAGCGUAUAUUAAAGUUGUUGCAGUUAAAAAGCUCGUAGUUGAAUUUCGAGAUCAGUACGCUGGUCGUGCCUUCGGUAUGUACUGGUGUCACUGGUUUCUCCCUUCUGAAGAACCGUUAUGUCAUUAAGUUGGUGUGGCGGGGAAUCAGGACUGUUACUUUGAAAAAAUUAGAGUGUUUAAAGCAGGCUCGCGCUUGAAUACAUUAGCAUGGAAUAAUGAAAUAGGACGUUUGACCCUAUUUUGUUGGUUUCUUAGGAUCGACGUAAUGAUUAAUAGGGAUAGUUGGGGGCAUUAGUAUUCAAUUGUCAGAGGUGAAAUUCUUGGAUUUAUUGAAGACUAACUACUGCGAAAGCAUUUGCCAAGGAUGUUUUCAUUAAUCAAGAACGAAAGUUAGGGGAUCGAAGACGAUCAGAUACCGUCGUAGUCUUAACCAUAAACUAUGCCGACUAGGGAUCGGAUGAUGUUAAUUUUUUAAUGUACUCA
rnacentral:rRNA from 1 species